rnacentral:misc_RNA from 1 species
GCACGAGGGUUUCUUGUACUAUAUUG